rnacentral:rRNA from 1 species
UACGUAGGGUGCAAGCGUUGUCCGGAAUUAUUGGGCGUAAAGAGCUCGUAGGCGGUUUGUCGCGUCUGCUGUGAAAACUCGGGGCUUAACUCCGGGCCUGCAGUGGGUACGGGCAGACUAGAGUGCGGUAGGGGAGACUGGAAUUCCUGGUGUAGCGGUGGAAUGCGCAGAUAUCAGGAGGAACACCGGUGGCGAAGGCGGGUCUCUGGGCCGAAACUGACGCUGAGGAGCGAAAGCGUGGGGAGCAAACAGG